ACCCGCUGAACUUAAGCAUAUCAAUAAGCGGAGGAAAAGAAACCAACAGGGAUUGCUCUAGUAACGGCGAGUGAAGCAGCAAUAGCUCAAAUUUGAAAUCUGGCGUCUUCGACGUCCGAGUUGUAAUUUGUAGAGGAUGCUUCUGAGUAACCACCGACCUAAGUUCCUUGGAACAGGACGUCAUAGAGGGUGAGAAUCCCGUAUGCGGUCGGAAAGGUGCUCUAUACGUAGCUCCUUCGACGAGUCGAGUUGUUUGGGAAUGCAGCUCUAAAUGGGAGGUAAAUUUCUUCUAAAGCUAAAUAUUGGCCAGAGACCGAUAGCGCACAAGUAGAGUGAUCGAAAGAUGAAAAGCACUUUGGAAAGAGAGUUAAAAAGCACGUGAAAUUGUUAAAAGGGAAGGGAUUGCAACCAGACUUGCUCGCGGUGUUCCGCCGGUCUUCUGACCGGUCUACUCGCCGCGUUGCAGGCCAGCAUCGUCUGGUGCCGCUGGAUAAGACUUGAGGAAUGUAGCUCCCUCGGGAGUGUUAUAGCCUCUUGUGAUGCAGCGAGCGCCGGGCGAGGUCCGCGCUUCGGCUAGGAUGCUGGCGUAAUGGUCGUAAUCCGCCCGUCUUGAAACACGGACCAAGGAGUCUAACAUCUAUGCGAGUGUUCGGGUGUCAAACCCCUACGCGUAAUGAAAGUGAACGGAGGUGAGAACCGCAAGGUGCAUCAUCGACCGAUCCUGAUGUCUUCGGAUGGAUUUGAGUAAGAGCAUAGCUGUUGGGACCCGAAAGAUGGUGAACUAUGCCUGAAUAGGGUGAAGCCAGAGGAAACUCUGGUGGAGGCUCGCAGCGGUUCUGACGUGCAAAUCGAUCGUCAAA
rnacentral:rRNA from 1 species